rnacentral:tRNA from 1 species
GGAGAGGUGGCUCAGUGGUUAAGAGCACUGACUGCUCUUCCAGAGGUCCUGAGUUCAAAUCUCAGCAACCACA